GAUGAACGCUGGCGGCGUGCCUAAUACAUGCAAGUCGAGCGAACAGACGAGGAGCUUGCUCCUCUGACGUUAGCGGCGGACGGGUGAGUAACACGUGGAUAACCUACCUAUAAGACUGGGAUAACUUCGGGAAACCGGAGCUAAUACCGGAUACUAUAUUGAACCGCAUGGUUCAAUAGUGAAAGACGGUUUUGCUGUCACUUAUAGAUGGAUCCGCGCCGCAUUAGCUAGUUGGUAAGGUAACGGCUUACCAAGGCAACGAUGCGUAGCCGACCUGAGAGGGUGAUCGGCCACACUGGAACUGAGACACGGUCCAGACUCCUACGGGAGGCAGCAGUAGGGAAUCUUCCGCAAUGGGCGAAAGCCUGACGGAGCAACGCCGCGUGAGUGAUGAAGGUCUUCGGAUCGUAAAACUCUGUUAUUAGGGAAGAACAAAUGUGUAAGUAACGAUGCACGUCUUGACGGUACCUAAUCAGAAAGCCACGGCUAACUACGU
rnacentral:rRNA from 1 species